AUUUAAGCCUCCCAAACGAAUAGCAGUCUAAUAAUGAUUAGAAAAAUAAAUUUUAUUUUACAUCAUUAAAUAAAACUUAUUUUUCUAAUCAUUGUUAGACUGCUAUUCGUUUGGGAGGCUUAAA
rnacentral:sRNA from 1 species